rnacentral:misc_RNA from 1 species
UUUCCGUAGGUGAACCUGCGGAAGGAUCAUUAUUGUAUAACCGAGGUGCGAGGGCUGUCGCUGACCCGAAAGGUCGUGCACGCCCGAGUGCCCUCACACACAUCCAUCUCACCCCCAUGUGCACCGCCGCGUGGGUCCCCCUUUGGCUUGUUCGGAGGGGGGCUUACGCUUUCACACAAACUUUGUAUGCAGUGUAGAAUGUAUUUUUUGUUUUUGCGAUCACGCAAUCAAUACAACUUUCAACAACGGAUCUCUUGGCUCUC